UUCAGAUUGUUUCUGUUAUCUCUGCAUUUUAAAGUAGCAAAAUACUAAGCCAUUAGGUUAUUGAACCUGUAAUAUUCCCACAGGGGUUUUAUGUCUACCCCAUGGGAUUCAAUUAAUUUUCCUGGACCCUGGUUAGACUGUUUCCUUUCCCUCUUAGGCAUUUGGCCCCCAAAGUUAGGUAGGUAAAAGUGUCAUUUUUAAAGAUUUUACCUGUCAGGGAAUUUCCUGGUUGGUGCUCCUGGAAAGCAUGCAGCUGGCCGGCGGGAGUCUGACAUUCUCAGUCAGUGGGGAGAGAAGACAUGUGUCUCCCAAAGCCAAGAGGUAGCCAGGUGGAGGACAGCAGGACUUUCUAGGGGGUCCAAGGGGAAAGUUCUGAGUGGACCCUGGGAAGGGACAUGGGUGCCCCAUCUGAGAUGACCUGUGUCCUUCCAAUGCCUGGUAUCCCCAAGAGGGGCCCAGACAUGGACCGCCCUGGGGAACGAGGAUGUGGUGCUGCCUGGAGGAGCUAACACUGAGGUUUGGGGAAGUCACCACACAGCUCCCAGAACCCAGAAUCUCUGACAAGCAACCAUGUGUGGAGAGGGAAUGGGGACAGUGGAAGGACACAGCUCAAAUGAAGACACUGCGGACAUGUUUCCAUGGCUUUCUACAUUCUUCAUCAUCAUCGAGUGUUCUCCUCUACACAGUGAGCACAACAUUUUACCCACGUGCCUGAUGGACAGGCCAAGCUGAAUGGAAGCCUUCUGAGGCACUGGAGCAGAAGGGAAAACUUGCACAUGGUCGCAAAGGACUUCACACUGUUCCAUCCCCUCUACUGCCAUCCAAGAGGCCUCUUGACUCUUCCAGAAUCAGAUGUAAAAGACAAGGGCAGUGGCACUGCUCGUCGUUGCUGGGGAUACAUUCGCAGUGCCACACCUCCUCCACCUUCUCCACGGGGUAGACGGCUUCCACCUAGUGGCAGAUGAGCCGCAGCUGCGUAGGGUCCAGCUGCUUCUUGUUGCAAGCCCGAAAAUUGUUGUACUGCAGCUGGAGGUUCUCGGCGGUGGAGGAGCCCCGCGGCAAAGUUGCCCACGGAGAGGCUCUGCUGCACGAUCUUGCACACCUCCUUGUCGGACAGCAGGUAGGGAGAGCGCACCGGGAAGCUCAGUGAGGGACCACCACCUCAUCCAAGGGGAUCUUGCAGAAGUCCUUGCUGCUCCUCUCGGGGGCAGCGGGGGACCCUCAGACUCCUCUCUGAACCUCUCAGGAUUGAUUGCAUAGCUCCUCAUGUCUUUACACUCGGGGCCAGCACGUGGACCUUGCACUGCUGCUGGUAGGAGCGCCUCUGUUCCUGUUCCAGUGCAGGUUGCCCAUGAACUCAAGGGUCCAGACGCGAUUGUUUUUGGUGCAGAGGUAGAGCAGGUGCACUUAGUGGCGAAUGAGCUUGAUGCAGGACGGGUCCAGCUGCUUCUUGCCCAGGGAGUCGCUGCAGCUGUGCUGCUUGUGCAGGUUGUCAUGGGUGAAGAGCUUGGGGAAUAGGGGCACCAGCAGGCGCGAGGUGAAGUUGCCGAUGGACAGGCUGCUCUCGUAGAUACUGUGAAGAUGCUCGUUGCUGAGCAGGCCGUCGGCGCCGGGCACCUCCAAGUUGGGCUGGGGAUCUCCAAUUUGACCAAGUCGAUAGGUACCAGUCAGAUCUUCUUGGAGCGGCACCGCUCGCCCUUGAAGCUAUCCUCCACCCUGAUUACUGAGAUGUCAUCGGGCAGGCUGGAGGAGUUGUAGCAGUUGUCGCGUGGGGGGCUCGCCUUCGCUGCCUGCGUCCAGCCCCAGGCCCUGAAGCUUGUCGUUGAUGCACUGGGCGCACCGCUGCAGCCAGGCCUCCUCCUCCUGCAUGUGGGGGAAGUAGACCUCCGUGAAGUUGCAGAUGAUCUGCAGCCUCUGCGGGUCCAGGUCCUGCUUGCCGCCAGGCCUCCUCCUCCUGCAUGUGGGGGAAGUAGACCUCCGUGAAGUUGCAGAUGAUCUGCAGCCUCUGCGGGUCCAGCUCCUGCUUGCCGCCGUCCCCGUAGCAGCUGUCCUGCUCGCCCAGCUUGCGGUAGUGGAAGAGCUCAGGGAAGAGCCAGUGGAGGAGGAAGACGGCAAACUCGCCUGUGAAGAGGCUUCAUGCAGGAACUAAGUGAGGGCCUACAUGUCCACCACGUGGUCUGAGGCGAUGGUGCUGCUCCAGUCCAGAGACAGGCCCUCCUCCUCGUCUUUGUGGUCCAGGAAGUGGCCGGGGUCCACUGCUCAGCCUCAAGCUGGCAGCCUGGCCACCGGGCUGGCUGUUCUCCAUCUCCCGCUGGGCCCAGAAGUGGCUGAAGAACUUAUUCAGCUGGGGCAAGCACUCGGCCUGUCACACAGCCCUCUCCUUCACCGAGGGGUAGUAGACCUCCAUGUAGUUGUGGAUGAGCUGCAGGUGCAGUGACUCCAGCUUAAGCUUGGCCUCAAAGCUGCAGGCACUGCAGCCUCGGGAGAAGUUGACUGUGGCUGAAGAGCUUGGGGAAGAGCUGCACCAGCGGGCAGCAGGCCAGGACCCCGCCUGACAGGCUCUGGUCCAAGAUCUGCUUAAGCUCCAUGCCCGUGAGCUGCUACGGGGUGGUGGGGGUCGGCUGGAAUUUGGCCACCAUCUCAGUGGGGUUCACCUUCAGGGAGAGCAGGUCCACUUUGCUGUGUAGCUGGGACCUGUUGGACGUGAGGGUGUUGAGCAUGUAGAACAUCUCCUGGAUCAGGAAGUAGAUGUUAGGGUCACUGUUGGUGGCUGCCCCAGUGCUGCCACAGUCCCACUUCUAUGGCUCAUUCAGGAGCCUAAGCAGCGAGGGGCUGUUGCUGGAAUUUGCCUUCUGGAAGAGCUCAUACGUGUUUAGCAGGUCCCCCGAGGGAGGGUUCUUCUUCUCCAUGACCUUGUGGGAGAUGCCAUACAGAGGCUUCUUGUAGUAAGGGGUGGUGGCAUGGUUGCGGGGCUCCUCCUUGCCUGGCCACACAGAGCCCGAGCUCCUGCCUUGCCGGCCUGCUCUCCAUUGCCUUGGCAGGGCGAGCUGUUCUCGGGUUCCACAUGCCUGCUAGGAGCGCCUCUGGGAUCAGCUACCUCCUCUCCACGCUGGGGAUGGAGUCUGGCUGGCCAUUGCUGACCAGCUGAGUCCUGGAGGGCAGUAAAGACGCUGUCCAGAAGGUGCUUCUCAGAAGUCCUGGAAUUCACGGAGCAGCCUAGAGCAGCAUCUUUGGCCUCUGUCUCCACUCUCACUUCUUAGAAGUUCUUCUACAUCAAUUUUUUUUGGAGAUGGUUCUGACUCUGUCACCCAGGCUGGAGUGCAGCAGUUGCUCAGAGCUCACUGCAUCCUUGACCUCCCAGACUCAAAAGAGCCUAGCUACUUAGGAGUAGCUAGGACUACAGGCCACGGCCACCAUGCCUGGCUAAUCUUUUAAAUUUUUUGUAGAGGCAGAGGUCUCUCAUUGUGUUGCCCAGACAAGUCUCAAAUUCUCGGGCUCAAGUGUUCCUCCCAAAGUGCUGGGAUUAAUGGCGUGAGCCACUGUACCUG
rnacentral:lncRNA from 1 species